GCAGAACUCCAGAGGAGCAGGAGUGUGGGUGGCUUGCACCAGAAGGGGGACCCACCGAUCUGCAUCAGGAAACUACUACGCAAGGAGCUAGACUCCGAGGACCAAAGUAAAGACCCAAGAAAUGACACAGAUGAUGGCACCUGUCAGGCGAGCCUAGAGGAUGACAAGAAGAAAGGGAGCCAUGAUGAGGUGGGAAAACCGGACAAGUGUGAGAAAAUGGACCCAGAGAAGAGUGACUCGGAGGCCAGCGCCGCAGGGCCACAGGACGACGCCUCCAAAGAAAGAUGUCUCUCUGUGGCUGAGGAGGAGCAUCCAGAGUCCAUGACGCUGGAUAACCUUCUAGAAAAACAGGCAAGAACUUCUCACUUUAGCCACGGGAGUUCGGAUAUAAACCAUCUGUGUUUGUGGAGAUCGACCUGGGCGACCAUACUGAGGAGGAGGUCAUCACCUGUGCCAUUAAAGAAGAGAAGAGGCCCCCCCAUGACACAGGGUACUUGUCUGAAGAUGAGAUAAGGACCAGCUGGGUGUGUUGCCUUCCUUACCACAC
rnacentral:lncRNA from 1 species